UUACUCACCUAUGGAACCAGUUAGGGUCGCCACGGUAACAGCCAUCGCCCUUGGUAACUGCCAAACUUCCCAAUGACAUCAGAGUCAUCUGCACUGCCGCCAAGUCUUUACCUACAAACACACAUACACACACACACACACACACACACACACACAGUCGCAGUCUGUAUAUAGUUGGUCUCACCAUCAUCAGCACAUUGUGGACGUGUCCCAAACCACAUCAUGUUUUUGAUAUGGGCCCAAUGCGUUACAGCAGUGCAUUGUGGGAUACUAGGUAGUGUAGUGAAUUAGGUCUAUCCAGAACAUCCACAGGUCUAUGUUGUACGUUUUCCAAAAUGAAGAAACGAGGACUCGACGGAAGACUCACCAUCCCAGAGGUCCACCGUCUGGAAGAUGUCAGUUUUGGUGACUCCGUAUUUCUCAGCGGCUGUGAGGAACUGUGAGAUCUGCUCCAUCUGCUUGAAGGCCAUGCCGGUGCUCUGGAACUUCUUCACUGGCUUAGAGGCAGGAUAGAGGCUGUUAAUGAGCUCGCACAAGACCUGCGGAGACAAGUGGAGGCAGGAGAGAGAAUUAUUAUUAUUAUUAUUUUAUUACAGUAAAUAUUACUUUGUUGGAUAUUUUAUUUAUUUGUGAUUUUACAAUUCCGAAAAAGAAAAUAGUCGAAGGAAAAAAAAUCAGUUAAAAAAACAAUUUAAAUGUUUAUUUUAUGUUAAUUAAUCAAAAUUUUAUUAUAUAAUUAAUUUUGUUAACAUGCAUUUUGGGUUCUUUAAAUACAUUUAAAUUACAAAAAAAAUCAACAAUAAAAUAUCAGGGAAAUCG